rnacentral:lncRNA from 1 species
UGGCUGGACUCCACCAUGGAUCCCUGGGAAGCUGUUAGCAUUGCCUCCUUGCAGUCUGUCAAGUAAUGCUUUCCCAGGAGAGAGGGGCGAUUCUGGACGCGGGCGGGUGUGCGGGAGGUCUGCAGCGCGCUGCCCGUGACAGCUGUGCGGACACAGCCCUCCGAGGAGCCUCUGCCUACAGGUCAGAUGCUCGUAAGAAGCU